GACAGAGGGUGCAAACGUUGUUCGGAAUUACUGGGCGUAAAGCGCGUGUAGGCGGCAAUACAAGUCGGAUGUGAAAUCCCGCGGCUUAACCGUGGAAGUGCACCCGAAACUGUAUCGCUAGAGUCCCGGAGAGGAUGGUGGAAUACUUGGUGUAGAGGUGAAAUUCGUAGAUAUCAAGUGGAACACCGGUGGCGAAGGCGGCCAUCUGGACGGUGACUGACGCUGAGACGCGAAAGCGUGGGUAGCAAUCAGG
rnacentral:rRNA from 1 species